CUGGUCUGUUAGCUGGUCUGUUAGCUGUGAGACUGGCCUGUUAGCUGGCCUGUUAGCUGUGAGACUGGCCUGUUAGCUGUUAGACUGGUCUGUUAGCUGGUCUGUUAGCUGUUAGACUGGUCUGUUAGCUGUGAGACUGGUCUGUUAGCUGGUCUGUUAGCUGUUAGACUGGCCUGUUAGCUGUGAGACUGGUCUGUUAGCUGUGAGACUGGCCUGUUAGCUGGUCUGUUAGCUGUGAGACUGGUCUGUUAGCUGUGAGACUGGCCUGUUAGCUGUGAGACUGGCCUGUUAGCUGUGAGACUGGCCUGUUAGCUUUGAGACUGGCCUGUCAGCUGGCCUGUUAGCUGGGGGGAGGCAGGUAGCCUAGUGGUUAGAGGGGGGAGGCAGGUAGCCUAGUGGUUAGAGGGGGGAGGCAGGUAGCCUAGUGGUUAGAGGGGGGAGGCAGGUAGCCUAGUGGUUAGAGGGGGGAGGCAGGUAGCCUAGUGGUUAGAGGGGGGAGGCAGGUAGCCUAGUGGUUAGAGGGGGGAGGCAGGUAGCCUAGUGGUUAGAGUGUUGGACUAGUAACCGAAAGGUUGCUGGUUCGAAUCCCCCGAGCUGACAAGGUAAAAAUCUGUCGUUCUGCCCCCUGAACAAGGCAGUUAACCCACUGUUCCCCGGUAGGCCGUCAUUAUAAAUAACAAUUUGUUCUUAACUGACUUGCCUAGUUAAAUAAAGGUUAAAUAAAAUGUAAAAAAAUCCUGCCAGGUAUAAUGUAGGCCAGGUUCAUGACAUUGUCUCUGUGUGUUCCCCAUGGUCUUCCUGCCAGGUAUAAUGUAGGCCAGGUUCAUGACAUUGUCUCUGUGUGUUCCCCAUGGUCUUCCUGCCAGGUAUAAUGUAGGCCAGGUUCAUGACAUUGUCUCUGUGUGUUCCCCAUGGUCUUCCUGCCAGGUAUAAUGUAGGCCAGGUUCAUGACAUUGUCUCUGUGUGUUCCCCAUGGUCUUCCUGCCAGGUAUAUGACAGUCGUAAUGCAGGCCAGGUUCAGAGCCCUGUAGAAUCGUAAUAAUUUGCAGCGCUAUCGUCUCUCAGAUCAGAUCCAGCAUCGUUGAGGUCAUAACCUCUAUAAACCACAACAUCCUCUGGCCCCGGGCCUGAAGCAUUAGGUAAUAUCUUCUGGAUCAUCGUU
rnacentral:lncRNA from 1 species